GACUCAACCAAUCAUACUCUCAUAGUUCUAUCUUUUUCUCAUCGAUGGGAGACCCUAAUCUUCCUCCUUGUAUAUUUUCUCCCAAUAAAGAACCCUCCGGCGAGAGGGUUAACUCGUACCAUAGGAUUAAAGACGACAGAGUCCAUCUUUGAAGCACUUGAUUCAGAAGAGCUUGUUUUUCUGAGGAAUUUAACCUUUGCAAAGGUUUUAAUCCUAGAUGAUAAUCCUCCUUUUUUCGAUGCCUUUGGCAAUUUUCGUACUUGUGAGGAGGUUGAAGACAAACAAGACGUACAAAAUCUGGAUUUUGUUUGCUUGGAAGCCUAAUCGAUUUUCACUGAGUUAGUUUGAACUGUGGGGAACUUCCUAAUUCCAGGCAUAGGAAGAGAAAAUAAAUCUCGAAUGAGAAACUUUACUGAAAUGAAUUAUUUGGGUCUUUAAAGUCUUGCACCAUUGAAAUUGUGUAGACAUCCUGAAGAAUCACAAGGUUAAGGACAUGGCGACGAGGAUUAAGUUUGCCUGUCUAUCAAUCACGUCAGUUGUACUUCGCCCAUCAUCUCACUUUCCGAAGAUCAUUCCCGAACAUGUGGAGCUCAUCUGUGAUCUAGAUGAGUUUAUGGCAUACCCAUUGAGAAGGGUGAAAUUGUUCUAGCUCAGGAUUUGUUUGCUCUUAGAGGAUAUGUCGAUCCAAUCCAACUUGUUAUGAUGUUGUUGUAGUUACUUUGGAGGAAAAGGUUAACCUAAACGAAACCGGUCGUUGUGGCUGAAUCUUAUAGUGAAACAGAGGUGUCAGUGGGUGAAGAUGGAGCUUUGUCAGAUGAAUCAGCGUGCUCUGAAAAACCAUUUCAACUGCCAAAUUUGUGAUUAAACCUUGGCAUUCUGGAGACUUAGACGUCGAAUACAAGGUCUAUGUUCGAUCUAUUCUUUAUGAUCCACAUGAGGAGUUGUUCUUGGAGAUGAUCUUUCAUGGUCAGAUGAAAAUGAAGACCCGACAGUAGAAACAUUGGUUCGUCUUAUAAGUGAAGGAUUUGUAUUCAAGAUGGAGAUGUUUAAAGGUGGGCUCACAGCGGCCGAUAUUGUACGAAUGUGUGCAGAGAAGCAAAGGGAGAAGGAGACGAAAGAGAAGCAUGACAAAGAAAAUGCCGCAUAGUCAACCGAGGGUGAAUCUUCAGACCAUGUCUCUCAUAUUUCAAUUGCCAAUCUCGUUGCUACGCAGAUUAAGGAAGAAAUUGGAGGUCUAGAGUCUCGAAUUGUUAGUGGAUGAUAAGAUCAUGGUCAUACUUGCUGAGACAGGGCAGAGUUAGAUAGAGGGUAAAACGAGAACUACAGGUCUUGUUGCAGAGAAGGUGGGAUCCGUUCAAAGUGGCUAAGAUGUAGAAAGAAGAAGUGAAGACUCUGGUGGAGCGAGAAUCACUAGUAGUACUAAGUAUUUUAAUUAAAGUGUUGUCGUUUUGCAUUUCAUUAAGUGUCGGAAACCUUAGUGUGCAAAAAUAUAAUUAGAAAUCUGAUCAGCUUUUAUUUCCUUGUCAUCUUCGAUUGACAUCUUUCCAAUCCCAAUUUCAUCUUGUGAUAAUCUGAGUUUAUCAUUUUGGUAUCAGAGCUCAUGGAUCCUCUUGACCUUGAGCAACUUUUGUUACUACCCCGAGAAGCUUUCCGCGAAGUGAUGAAGACAAAAUCAGACGAGGAAGUGACGGCCUUCAACUGGAUAAUGGGUGAACGCUUGCGACAAUCUCUGGAGAAAUGCGAGCUCGAGCUGGAGCGUAGUGAGAGGUUGAGGACAAAAGCCUUAGAGCUUUCGCUAGUAAGAAAACAAGAAACCCCUACCAGAAGAUUCGUCGAACCGGCGGAAGACCAGAAACUACCUGUUGUGAGAAAACACAUAGAAGAUCCUCAACAGAUCGAAGGUUUGAAGAA